rnacentral:rRNA from 1 species
UACGUAGGGGGCAAGCGUUGUUCGGAAUUACUGGGCGUAAAGCGCGCGUAGGCGGCUUUGCAAGUCGGGUGUGAAAUCCCCAGGCUUAACCUGGGAACUGCAUUCGAGACUGCAUUGCUAGAGUAUGGGAGAGGGAAGUGGAAUUUCAGGUGUAGCGGUGAAAUGCGUAGAUAUCUGAAGGAACAUCAGUGGCGAAAGCGACUUCCUGGACCAAUACUGACGCUCAUGUGCGAAAGCGUGGGGAGCAAACAGG